ensembl:lncRNA
GUGUCACACACGUGCUCGUGGGCAGGCACGCACAGACCCGUGGCCACACGCGGGAGGAGCCAGACACCCACGGGGACUGCACACACCGGAGGGGCUCACACCAAGGGGCAGACCAGACACCCACACGGCGAGGGCACACGCGCACCCGCCCAGGCCAGACCCAGACAGACCCCACGGGAGGCCCCCCACCCAGAGGCCAGACACGGACCAGGCAGCCAGCAUCCCCUGGGAGGCCACAUCAGACCUCACCGUUCACCCGCGGUCCCAGAACCCGCCCUGUGCAGGCCCCCAGCGAGUGUGUGCACGGUGUGUGCGUGUGUCUCUAUGUGUGUAAAGAGAGACCACCUCCGAGGCCUGAGCCCUGUUCCCACAGGGCAGUGACCCCGCCUCCCCCCCACCAAGCCCCGGCUCUCAGCCCAGGACGCAGGCCUCCAACCACAGCUCGCCCCUCUUACCUGGAGAGAUGGGGGGAUGGAUGCAGAUACCAGCGGGACACCCCGUUGCCUUCAGCGCCGACAGCAGCUGGGAAGGCCCGCCGCGGAGUGGGCAGCGCCCGGACCACCACCUCGACGCCCAGGCCUGGGGCAGCCCCACCGCCAUCGCGGCCAGGUGUUCCACGGAGUUUUCCAGAGGCUACGUGAGGCGUGAUCUCGCGAGAGCUUCAAAGCCCUGGCAGGUGUGAUAACCCAGCUGGCCUUGUGUUAACCUCACUCAAGAGAGCUGCGAAGUGAAACACAAGGCCACUCUUUGGGCUGCUUUGCUGGUUUUAAGACAGAGCUAUUUUUCAUUAAAAAAAAGUGCAUUAUUCCUGUGAGUACAGUGAGUUCGUUGUCAUGAAGCAACGAAUGCAUAAAGACCUCUGUUUUUUCUCAGCUUUAAUUUCCAUCGCUGCAAAUGUCGAUAUACACAUACACAACAGCUCUGGGCCUGCAAUGAUUUUUUAAACGCUAAGGGGCCCUGAGACCCCCAGUGUCUGAGACCUGCUGCCUGAGACACGUGGCUAAUGAUUGAUUACAGCUCCUCUGCGCACCCAGCCUCAGUGGAGGACACACACAGGGAGCGCGUAUUGAGUCCUUUCGGCGCCCAGCCCCCAGCUAAAGGCUUUACAAGGUCAUCUCAGGGAAUCCUCACACCAGCCUUAUGCGGGCGGUAAUGUCAAGGCCGAGGAGGAAACCCAGGCUGAGCUUCAUGGCCAACUCUUUGCAACCCCAUGGACUGCAACACUCCAGGCUUCCCUGUCCACCACCAACUCCCAGAGCUUGCUCAAACUCACGUCCAUUGUGUCAGUGAUGCCACCCAACCAUCUCAUCCUCUGCCGCCCCCUUCUCCUGAUGACGGACAGAGUGCAGCCUGCACGCCCACCUCCUGCCGGUUUCUCAGCCACCUUCCAAGCAGAAGCCACCCCUGUGAUGGGAACUGGGUUAGGAACUGAAGACACACGACAGCUGCCUCAGGGUCAGACCUUAGCUCCGGACACUCAGUGCCUUGGGCACCAGGGCUCCGACCUGCUGAGCCUCAGUCUUCUCGGCAGUACAAUGGGCACAAGAGAGAUUCUUUCUGCAGUGCAAUCAUGAGGUCAAGUGCACGCAUCUGUGAGCUCACUGCCCCAGAGAGCACUGUAGGACGGGGGCUUCACAGGGACCUGUGAGCAAGUCUGGGG